rnacentral:lncRNA from 1 species
GUGGGGUCAUAUGUUAAGUCAACAAUGAUGUAUUUUUUCAUAUGCUAAGAAAAGUUUUUAUUUUUGUUUUAUUUUUAACAGAUUGCUAAUGUAUAAUGUACACAAAAUAUUUAAUAUAAAAGGAAAGUGGAUAUUUUUGUAAGAAAUCCUUUCCUGGGCUAAAUGCUUUACUGAAAACUUUUUUGCCUGGUGUACAAUGCAUAGGAGUGAACAAUGCCCAGUUCGUUGUUUAGAAAGUGUCAGCACGUGACAGAUUUCUAUAAGCCAAAAAUAUGGUCAAACCAAUUUAAUGUAUUUUUCUACUCCUCGAAUCAAUGAUAAUUGGUUUGACUAUAUCAGAGUUUGGUGUCUGAGUUGGCACCACUGUGCCACGUAUUGAAACACUAAUGCUAUGGGA